rnacentral:rRNA from 1 species
UACGAAGGGGGCGAGCGUUGUUCGGAAUUACUGGGCGUAAAGGGCGCGUAGGCGGCCCCUUUUGUCGCGUGUGAAAGCCCCGGGCUCAACCUGGGAACGGCGCGCGAAACGGGGGGGCUUGAGUUCGGGAGAGGAGAGUGGAAUUCCCAGUGUAGCGGUGAAAUGCGCAGAUAUCGGGAAGAACACCCGUGGCUAAGGCGGCUCUCUAGUACGGUACUGACGCUGAGACGCGAAAGCGUGGGGAGCGAACAGG